CAGAGACCUCAAGCGUUAUCCGGAAUCAUUGGGCGUAAAGCGUACCGAUAGGUUGUUUACAAAGUCAGAGGUGAAAUCUCCGAGCUCAACUCGGAAUCUGUCCUUUGAAACUUGUAGACUAGAGGGGCAAAGAGGAAGCUGGAACAAACGGUGUAGUAGUGAAAUGCGUUGAUAUCGCUUGGAACACCAAUAGCGAAGGCAGGCUUCUGGGUGCCACCUGACACUUCUAGGACGAAAGCGUGGGGAGCGAAUGGGAUUAGAUACCCCAGUAGUCCACGCUGUAAACGAUGCACAUUAGGUGCUAGGGAGUAUCGACCCUCCUUAGUGCCAAAGCUAACGCGUUAAAUGUGCCGCCUGGGGAGUACGGCCGCAAGGCUA
rnacentral:rRNA from 1 species